rnacentral:rRNA from 1 species
AGAGUUUGAUCAUGGCUCAGAUUGAACGCUGGCGGCAGGCCUAACACAUGCAAGUCGAGCGGAUGAGAAGAGCUUGCUCUUCGAUUCAGCGGCGGACGGGUGAGUAAUGCCUAGGAAUCUGCCUGGUAGUGGGGGAUAACGUCCGGAAACGGGCGCUAAUACCGCAUACGUCCUACGGGAGAAAGCAGGGGACCUUCGGGCCUUGCGCUAUCAGAUGAGCCUAGGUCGGAUUAGCUAGUUGGCGGGGUAAAGGCCCACCAAGGCGACGAUCCGUAACUGGUCUGAGAGGAUGAUCAGUCACACUGGAACUGAGACACGGUCCAGACUCCUACGGGAGGCAGCAGUGGGGAAUAUUGGACAAUGGGCGAAAGCCUGAUCCAGCCAUGCCGCGUGUGUGAAGAAGGUCUUCGGAUUGUAAAGCACUUUAAGUUGGGAGGAAGGGUUGUAACCUAAUACGUUGCAAUUUUGACGUUACCGACAGAAUAAGCACCGGCUAACUUCGUGCCAGCAGCCGCGGUAAUUC